rnacentral:rRNA from 1 species
UGCUGAGAGUCGUUUUGAAUAAUUCUUAAAGCGCCGACGUCGGGGGCACACCGUGUCCGGGGCCUCCAACGUGGCUCUCUUGGUUCGAUUUCCUUGGCGCAUUCCGCGCCGGGGUUCGGUUUGCAGGCGGGUCUCCCCGCCCGCAGGGGGGGCGAGGG